rnacentral:rRNA from 1 species
CCCUUAGAUGUUCUGGGCCGCACGCGCGCUACACUGAUGAAUGCAACGAGCUCUACCCUUGACCGAAAGGCCCGGGUAAACUUGUGAAACUUCAUCGUGAUGGGGAUAGAUUAUUGCAAUUAUUAAUCUUCAACGAGGAAUUCCUAGUAAGCGCGAGUCAUCAGCUCGCGUUGAUUACGUCCCUGCCCUUUGUACACACCGCCCGUCGCACCUACCGAUUGAAUGGUCCGGUGAAAUCUCGGGACGGCGGCUUGGUCGCUUGCGUCCGACUGCUGAAACUUGAUUAAACCAUAUCAUUUAGAGGAAGGUGAAGUCGUAACA